GCUGAAAGGCAGGAGUGCCCGCAAGGGAGCGCGGAGACAGGUGGUGCAUGGCUGUCGUCAGGUCGUGUCGUGAGAUGUUGGGUUAAGUCCCGCAACGAGCGCAACCCUCACCCCUAGCUGCCACCGGGUAAUGCCGAGCACUCGAGGGGAACUGCCAGCGUCAAGCUGGAGGAAGGCGGGGAUGACGUCAAGUCAUCAUGCCCCUUACGUCCUGGGCUACACACGUGCUACAAUGGCCGGUACAAAGGGAUGCGAGACCGCGAGGUGGAGCCAAUCCCAAAAAGCUGGUCUAAGUUCGGAUUGCAGCCUGCAACUCGACUGCAUGAAGUAGGAAUCGCUAGUAAUCGCGCAUCAGCACGGCGCGGUGAAUACGUUCCCGGGCCUUGUACACACCGCCCGUCACACCACGAAAGCUGG
rnacentral:rRNA from 1 species